rnacentral:misc_RNA from 1 species
UCGAGUGUGUGCCCCCCUCGUAAAAAAAGGGGGGUUACCUCCCGUCCUUUGCUGGGGGCCCCCUCUUAUUUUGGGAGGGGGCUUUUUCAGAACCCCUUCUGCUUCGGCGGGGUCAACCCCCCUGCCGGAACACCCUCAAAAAUUCUUUUAAUUUGUUCAGUCCGAGGAUUUUUUAAAAAAUGAUACA